rnacentral:misc_RNA from 1 species
GAAGUGCGAUAAGCAAUGCGAAUUGCAGAACCGUGAGUCAUCAGAUUUUUGAACGCAACUGGCGCCGGCUGGUACUCCAACCGGCAUGCUUGUUUCAGUGUCUCGUUUUCUCCUCACCCAAACCUUAAUGCUGGAGAUACCCUUCUCUUGCUAAACAGGAAAGCAUUCUGCACUUUGCAAGUGUUCUCAGUUUACUGAGUCACACUCAAUGCAGCCCUCACAUUGCACACAAUGUGAACUCAUUGAGAGUCGAGGCAGUGUUGCGCAAGCAACGAAUGCUUAGCCAUUCAAACUUUAUCUGUAUCUGAAAUCAAGCAGGACCACCCGCUGAACUUAA